AACGUAGGAGACAAACGUUAUCCGGAGUUACUGGGCGUAAAGGGCGUGUAGGUGGUUUCGUAAGUCUGGCGUGAAAUUUUUCGGCUUAACCGGGAAAGGUCGUCGGAUACUGCAGAACUAGAGGACGGUAGAGGCGUGUGGAAUUCCGGGUGUAGUGGUGAAAUGCGUAGAUAUCAGGAGGAACACCAAUUGCGAAGGCAGCUCGCUGGGACGUAACUGACGCUGAGACGCGAAAGCGUGGGGAGCAAACAGG
rnacentral:rRNA from 1 species